rnacentral:rRNA from 1 species
GACAGAGGAUGCAAGCGUUAUCCGGAAUGAUUGGGCGUAAAGCGUCUGUAGGUGGCUUUUCAAGUCCGCCGUCAAAUCCCAGGGCUCAACCCUGGACAGGCGGUGGAAACUACCAAGCUGGAGUACGGUAGGGGCAACUGGAACAAGCGGUGGAGCGGUGAAAUGCGUAGAUAUCGCUUGGAACGCCAAAGGUGAAAACAGGUAGCUGGGGCUGUGCUGACACUGAGACACGAAAGCCAGGGGAGCAAACGGG